UAGGGGUUCAGCAGCCAAAGGGGAAGGAGGGCAUAUAAGAGCUCCACAGAGAGGCUUGGUGAGGGGUCUAAAGGCUGGAGGAGGAGAACGAUGGAGGAUCCUGGAGAAGCAGAAGUAAGCCCAGAAGAAGGACUGUAGCUGAUGGUGGAGAGCAGAAGCACGAACCCCUGUGUAAAUCAUCCACAGUAGAUGACUUCUGUCAUAGAAGCUUGGGAACACAGGACUGAAAGGGACCAGCCGAGUCCAGUUCUCUGCUAUGCUUUGAGCCUUGAAGUCCCUGCUGGAGCUGCACUGAAUGAAAAAGAGCCCCAUAGCUGUAGGAGAAACAAAGAAGUGCUGGGGGGCACAGAAGUGGGGAGGAGGAUUGCAAAAUUAACUGAAAUAGAGCUGGAGGGGAUGGAUAAUUAAUUAAUUGGUGUUUGUGUUUUUGGGAGGAGCUGGAAGCUCCUGCACCAUCAAGCCGCUUUUAAUGCAAAUUAAUGUAAUUUUAUCACCAGCUGUCAGCAGCUACUAUCUACACAAUGCCUGUCAUUCUUCAUUCAUAGUCCCUCCAGACAGAAGCAGCUUAUCUAAGGGAGCUGCUGAGAAGGCAAAGGACUGGAAAUCUGGGGAAUGAAAUAUUUUAACACCUGUUACAUUUUUUCACAAAGUAUGACAGGUGAGCUAUUCUAUUAUUCACUGAAUAACAGAUGAAAUUCUAUUAAAUUAGCACAGACAGACAAACGGCCUGUGGUGACUUCUGUAUCAUGAGUGCAGAGGUAUGUGGGUGCAAAACCCUUUGGGCACUGAGAAUUACCACCAUGGGGAGAAUUUUUCCUGUUGCUGGUGCUUGUGUGGGGAUCUUGUUCUAGCAGAAUGUCUUUGGCUACUCACACCAAACCUUGUUCACUUGAAGAUUUGUGGUGAGGAGUUGAAAUGUAUGGAGGAAAUAAAAUUAGAGUGCUGUUGUAGCCAUAUUGGUCCUACAAGGGGGCAUCACAGCGGCCCCAGGGCACCUUCUUGUCAUACCUUCAUUGUGUGGACUCUAAGAAAUGGUACAAUUGUUUCGUGAAAUAAUAUCACACAUGGGAUUUUUAGCUCCAGUGCUUGCAAUGAGCUAUGUGAAUGUCAGCCUCACUACUGCCCUGAAUGAUUCUCAUUGACUGAAAUAAUAAUGGGAGUAGCACCUGAAGCCUACAUGCUGAAUGAAAAAUAAAAAGGUAAACAGCUAAGGGAAAAGAAAAGCAUAGAAGUUCAAAUAAGGUCCCCUCUGCCUCCACAAGCAGUGAAAGGAGUAGGGCCUGCAUUUAAAAAAAAAAAAAACAAAUAAAAAUAAGCAGUAGGAUCCAUCUAUCCUGUUGCUAUGCUCAAGUUUGUGGGUUUUUGAUAACUUGAGUAUGUGUUUUGUCACUAGACUCCUUGAAAGAAAAUAGUUUUACACUGCAUAUUGGGAGCAGGUCCCUGCAAGUGUGUGAAAUGUAUGGAUUUCAAAAAACAGCAGAAGCUUUAGGCUAGAAUCUGAUCUGAGUUACACUGGUUACUCCAGGGGAGUUAUUUCAGAAUCACACAAGUAAUUAAACUCAAAACCUCGCCUGCAAACACAUGCCCCAUAGCUGCAGCCCAUAAUUUUCCAUUAUCUUCAGCCCUACGAAAUCAGUGGACUUGCCCACAUGGCUCAGGCAUACUUGCAUUAGUAAGGUAUUCUUUUUAGGAUCAGGGCAUGGACUGGAACUAUGUCUUCAGAGUUAGAGGCAUUAUCCCCUGGUAGUUUGAGAGGGUGUGAUGCUUGAACCUCCAAGGAAGCACAGUGCCCAAUCCCAUUCUCACUUGUACCCAUGUAGUUCCAAUGAUUUCAGCAGAGUAGUUGUAGAUUUACCCUAAGGUUCAAUCGGAGGAGAAUCAGGCCCACAGGACCACCCAGGAUGACAGCUCCUGCAACUUCAGGGGUGUUUGUUUUCCAGCAAGGCUCUUAUUGGGGUCUGUUUAAUGAAGUCCACUGAAUGAGACAUGGUGCAUUUUGUUCCACGGAGACCCUCCCAUUACUUAGGACUCAUACCUUAACCUUUCCUGUAGGGCCAGUCAUUUGUUGUGGUCUUGGGAUGAGUGUUUCACCCCACAUGCAACAUAAGCAGAGCAGGGCACUUGAGCAGCUGUGGAAUGAAGGGACAACAUCUCCACACCUUGUUUGCUCAGGGCACUGACCCCAGUUCAGCCAAGCACCUAGGCACAAGCUUCACUUUAAGCCUACAUUCAAAGUCUCCAAGUAAAUUAAAAUAUUUCAAAAUUGCUGUACCAUAUUUUUGGCCAGCCUUAACUGUAUGGUAUAUAAUAUGUACACUGCAUAAAAGUGGAGUCCACUUGUUAGUUUGUAAGUUCCUUGGACAGAGAAUGCCUUUUGCUUCAUUUCAGCGCAUCACCCUUCAAAUGGGGCCAGCUUUGGGGCACUACCCUCAUUGCUAAUGGUAAUAUUAAUGAACCUACAUGAGUGAAAGCAGGGUGGAAACAGGGUAUACAUUUAUCACCUAUUGGAAACCUGUUUUUAUUGCUUUCACUUUUACAGUCAGGUGCAUGAUCUAACCAUCAGACAGAAACAUCUUCAGACAGACCCAAAGGACAAUCAGCAGAAGACCCCUGGCCACACUUCCCAGGCCUCAGCUACACAGC